GCCCGGUUAGCUCACCCGGUAGAGCGUUGGACUUUUAAUCCAACGGUCAAGGGCUC
rnacentral:tRNA from 1 species